UACGUAGGGUCCAAGCGUUAAUCGGAAUUACUGGGCGUAAAGCGUGCGCAGGCGGUUGUGUAAGUCAGAUGGGAAAUCCCCGGGCUCAACCUGGGAAUUGCAUUUGAGACUGCACGGCUAGAGUGUGUCAGAGGGGGGUAGAAUUCCACGUGUAGCAGUGAAAUGCGUAGAGAUGUGGAGGAAUACCGAUGGCGAAGGCAGCCCCCUGGGAUAACACUGACGCUCAUGCACGAAAGCGUGGGGAGCAAACAGG
rnacentral:rRNA from 1 species